UUAAAAUUAAAAUAAAAAUAUAAUAAUAAACGAAUAAAAUAACCCCCCUCGCGAACGCGAUCUGAAAAUCCCCCAAAUCCCCCCAACACUUAGCAAAACGACUCCAAACCCUCCGAUCCGAUCCGUCACCCCCACGGCCUUCCGUCUCCUCCGUCCGUCCGCCGACCGUCCGGCUCCACCGUCCGCCCACGCCCUCCGUCAGCCACAGCAACGACCCUCGCUGCCAACCGCCUCGUCUCCUCGCCGCCAACAGCCACAGCAACGACCGCCAACAACAACAGGAACGCUGUCCGUUAGCCACACCACCGUCCGCCGGAGCUGCAUGUAAGUCUCCUUUCGAAUUUUUAUAUAUGUAUUUCAAUUUUUUGGUUAUUUAUUUCUUCUCCUAGACUCUAAAAUCAAACAAGGGUUUCCAUUUCUCUGGCCUACCUCCAGAUCCGGUUAGAGCUCAGAUCCGGUUCUGUGGUGAACAGAGACGACGGGGGAUGGCUGGGUUCCGGCGGUGUUGCUUCUCCUUUGUGCGGCUUCAGAUUCAUAUGCAGAAUUCAGCAACUCUGUCGUGCAAAUUGCUAUGCAAGAUUUUCAUAGUCUCCGUAUGUCGGUGUGUGGAUGUCGUACUCCAAAAGAUCAAGGUAUUCACGCUCUCCUUCGUACAAGCAUUACAACAGAUCUGUCUCAAGGUCACUCUCUAAGUCCCCAUAUUUGUCUCAAGGUCACAAAAUUUUCUGCAAAUUUGUUUGCAAGUGAAGUACUUGUGCAUUAAAUUUGUCUUCUUCACCGCUUCAGUCCAUUGGUCUUCAACAAGCAGGAGUUCUAGAUUCUGAGGAGUUGUCCAGCAUGAUCAAAGGGACUGAAAAGUGUGAAGUCCUAGAUCCUGAGGAGUUGUCCAGCAUGAUCAAAGGAACUGAGAAGUGUUAAGUACUAGAUCUUGAGGAGUUAUCCAACAUGAUCAAAGAAACUGAACAGGGUGAAAAGCAUCUCCUGUCUGGGAAUAAUGAGGAUGUAGAACAAUCUAUUGAUUCAACUCAACAUUUGAAGAUGAUGAUCUGAUACUUGAACAACUUGGGCUGAGGUUUUUGAGGACAUUAGAGCUUCGAUUGUAAGAUCCAGCUAAGUUUUAAAUGUAAUGAGGCAGUGGAUGAGGCUACUUCUGGCAAUUCAUAUUUAUUCCUUGCGCUUUGAAGAAGGCAGACUGUACUUCUAAAAAUGUGGUAAGUCCAAAGAAACAAAUUGGUGGAGUGCAAAGCUCUGGUAAAAUGGUAACCAAGGAAAACUCACAAGUCAUGCAGGCAUGUAAUUUUUAUUAGUGUUCAUAGUUUAUUAGUGUUGGUUUGAAUUUGUUGUUGAAUAGAUAGGUUUAAUUAGUUAUUAGUGUUGUAAAUUUGUGUGAAUUUGGAAAAUUCUGUACAGGUUUUAUUUUGAGCAAAUAAAAUUAGUGAAAUAUUGUAUUUUUAA